GAGGGAAGCCCUCACCCCCGGGCACGGCCAGAGCAGCCCGGAGCGCCGGGAACAGGCGUGGGCUCCGGAACAGCCCUACCCCGCCCCUGGCCCCGCUCCCGGAGCUCGGCCCAAUCCGCCCGGGGCACAAUAGCGCCUCUCUGGCCCAGCGGCCGGUCCCGGGAUACAGCCCAGGCUGCCUGGAAAGCUCUUUUAUUAAAGAGUUCGUCUCUAUCGGCCUGUCCAGAGUGUAUCCAGAUCCAGCACAAAAGGACAAAUUCAUUCGGAUUUCUUUUCAGGUGGGAAUCACCAGAUGAUUUGGAAAUUCUUGAAGAUAUUAGCUACAUGUUUCAAGGGAUUACUUUCUGACGUGCAAGAAGUCACAUGCUAAUCCUCCACUUUAAAAAUAUAGCUCUGUCUUUGAGGCAAUUUAUCUAAACUGGAGAUGUAUUUGCCUAUAUUAUAUAUAGCCUACUGAAAUUUAUUCCCAAAAAGUAAACUACAAACUUAGACCAAAAAAAAGAAGAUGUUCUGUCUGUAGUGCCUCAGGAAAAUUCUUCACUGCAUACAUGAAUGAAGAGCAAAAGGAAAGGAAGGAGAGAACUUUGAACUUGUGCCAAGAGAAGUGUCUUGUCACUGGAAGGAGGGCCUCUGGAGGAGAGGACCUUGGAAAUGCAACAAAUCUGAGUCCUCCAGGGAAUGAGAACUGCAAUUAUGUAAGACCCAAUAUCAUCAGUUAUUUAGUAACUUGUCAAUAUCUAAGAUCAAUUACUUUAGUGGGUGCUUAUUGUUAUUGCUGAAUAUUUACUAUUUACAUAUCAUCACAUCUAUUACAGUAUUGUUAACCACUCAUUCGAGGAAUACAGAAAGUGUCAAAGGCAAGGCAUGGAAAACUCUUAAACACCUCAGGCACAUUAGCAGUUACUGAGAGGCAGCUAAGUGAACAAUGCUUGCAGACUAUUUAAAAAAGGAGGGCAAGGAGCUAGGCACUUCAUUCAGCUCAGGAGUUCUAGACAGAAUAAGAACACAGAAUCUAGGAAAAUUGCCAGCUAGAUAGAUGUGUGACCUUUCAUUUGAAUUUAAGUCAAGACAAACAAGCAAAUAAGCUGGUUUGAUUUAUUCCCAGGUGUAAGUACAUACACCAAAUUGCCAUGUGUGUUACUCUCUACAAGUACUUCAUUCUAGACCUUUGUUGCGAUUUUAACAAAACUGCAGCAGAACUACGUAGCUGGGCAAAUCAUCGUUGGUAUUUUGAAAUGUUUGCAAACUUAUAUAAACCCAG